GAUGAACGCUGGCGGCGUGCCUAAUACAUGCAAGUCGAGCGAACAGACGAGGAGCUUGCUCCUCUGACGUUAGCGGCGGACGGGUGAGUAACACGUGGAUAACCUACCUAUAAGACUGGGAUAACUUCGGGAAACCGGAGCUAAUACCGGAUAAUAUAUUGAACCGCAUGGUUCAAUAGUGAAAGACGGUUUUGCUGUCACUUAUAGAUGGAUCCUCGCCGCAUUAGCUAGUUGGUAAGGUAACGGCUUACCAAGGCAACGAUGCGUAGCCGACCUGAGAGGGUGAUCGGCCACACUGGAACUGAGACACGGUCCAGACUCCUACGGGAGGCAGCAGUAGGGAAUCUUCCGCAAUGGGCGAAAGCUUGACGGAGCAACGCCGCGUGAGUGAUGAAGGUCUUCGGAUCGUAAAACUCUGUUAUUAGGGAAGAACAAAUGUGUAAGUAACUAUGCACGUCUUGACGGUACCUACUCAGAAAGCCACGGCUAACUACGUG
rnacentral:rRNA from 1 species